CAGUCGCCGCGGUAAGACGGAGGAUGCAAGCGUUAUCCGGAAUGAUUGGGCGUAAAGCGUCUGUAGGUGGUUUAUUAAGUCUACUGUUAAAGAUCAGGGCUUAACCCUGAGUCGGCAGUAGAAACUAAUGAGCUUGAGUACGGUAGGGGCAGAGGGAAUUCCCGGUGUAGCGGUGAAAUGCGUAGAGAUCGGGAAGAACACCAAUGGCGAAAGCACUCUGCUGGGCCGAAACUGACACUCAGAGACGAAAGCUAGGGGAGCGAAUGGGAUUAGAUACCCCCGUAGUCCCUGUCUCUUAUAC
rnacentral:rRNA from 1 species